AAUAUCAAAGGUGAGCCAGUACAGGAUGGACCCGCGUCUGAUUAGCUAGUUGGUAAGGUAACGGCUUACCAAGGCGACGAUCAGUAGCCGACCUGAGAGGGUGAUCGGCCACAUUGGAACUGAGACACGGUCCAAACUCCUACGGGAGGCAGCAGUGGGGAAUAUUGCACAAUGGGCGAAAGCCUGAUGCAGCAACGCCGCGUGAGUGAUGAAGGCCUUCGGGUCGUAAAACUCUGUCCUCAAGGAAGAUAAUGACGGUACUUGAGGAGGAAGCCCCGGCUAACUACGUGCCAGCAGCCGCGGUAAUACGUAGGGGGCUAGCGUUAUCCGGAUUUACUGGGCGUAAAGGGUGCGUAGGCGGUCUUUCAAGUCAGGAGUGAAAGGCUACGGCUCAACCGUAGUAAGCUCUUGAAACUGGGAGACUUGAGUGCAGGAGAGGAGAGUGGAAUUCCUAGUGUAGCGGUGAAAUGCGUAGAUAUUAGGAGGAACACCAGUUGCGAAGGCGGCUCUCUGGACUGUAACUGACGCUGAGGC
rnacentral:rRNA from 1 species